CCUACGGGAGGCAGCAGUGAGGAAUAUUGGUCAAUGGACGAGAGUCUGAACCAGCCAAGUAGCGUGAAUGAUGACUGCCCUAUGGGUUGUAAACUUCUUUUAUAUGGGAGUAAAAUGUUCGACGUGUGGAAUGGUGUAUGUACCAUAAGAAUAAGGAUCGGCUAACUCCGGACCAGCAGCCGCGGUAAUACGGAGGGUCCGAGCGUUAUCCGGAUUUAGUGGGUUUAAAGGGAGCGUAGGUGGAUUGUUAAGUCAGUUGUGAAAGUUUGCGGCUCAACCGUAAAAUUGCAGUUGAAACGGGGAGUCUUGAGUACAGUAGAGGUGGGCGGAAUUCGUGGUGUAGCGGUGAAAUGCUUAGAUAUCACGAAGAACUCCGAUUGCGAAGGCAGUUCACUGGACUGCAACUGACGCUGAGGCUCGAAAGUGUGGGUAUCAAACAGGAUUAGAUACCCUUGUAGUC
rnacentral:rRNA from 1 species